UACAGAGGGGGCAAGCGUUGUUCGGAAUUACUGGGCGUAAAGGGCGCGUAGGCGGCCUUCUAAGUCGAACGUGAAAUCCCCGGGCUCAACCCGGGAACUGCGUCCGAUACUGGAAGGCUUGAAUCCGGGAGAGGGAUGCGGAAUUCCAGGUGUAGCGGUGAAAUGCGUAGAUAUCUGGAGGAACACCGGUGGCGAAGGCGGCAUCCGUGGACCGGCAUUGACGCUGAGGCGCGAAAGCCAGGGGAGCAAACGGG
rnacentral:rRNA from 1 species